rnacentral:rRNA from 1 species
CCUACGGGCGGCUGCAGUGGUGAAUAUUGGACAAUGGGGGGAACCCUGAUCCAGCCAUGCCGCGUGUGUGAAGAAGGCCCUCGGGUUGUAAAGCACUUUCAGUGAGGAAGAACGCCUGGUGGUUAAUACCCAUCAGGAAAGACAUCACUCACAGAAGAAGCACCGGCUAACUCCGUGCCAGCAGCCGCGGUAAUACGGAGGGUGCGAGCGUUAAUCGGAAUUACUGGGCGUAAAGCGCGCGUAGGUGGCUUGAUAAGCCGGUUGUGAAAGCCCCGGGCUCAACCUGGGAACGGCAUCCGGAACUGUCAAGCUAGAGUGCAGGAGAGGAAGGUAGAAUUCCCGGUGUAGCGGUGAAAUGCGUAGAGAUCGGGAGGAAUACCAGUGGCGAAGGCGGCCUUCUGGACUGACACUGACACUGAGGUGCGAAAGCGUGGGUAGCAAACAGGAUUAGAUACCCGUGUAGUC